rnacentral:snRNA from 1 species
AAGUAUCACAGCUCCUUUAGAAUUUGUCUAGCAGGCAUUCUGAUGCUUUCCAAAAGAUCCUCA